UCAGUCUGGAACCUUGGAUUUUUUCUAAAAAAAAAAAAAAAAAAAAAAAAAAAAAGUGCUAGACUGAUUUAUAAAUUAUCAGUCUUGAAGUAUAAUUAGUUUUUCGAUAAAAAGUGCCAGACUGAUAAAUCAGUCUGGAACCUUGGAGUAAUAAGUUUCUUUCUCAAAUCUCAGGGGAUAAUUUAGCAGUUAAUAAAGUGCCAUUUUCAGUAUAAAUAUCAAACGGUACGACGCCGUUUGAGAAGGUCUAAUAAGUGGACUUACUGAAUGUUCAUGGUCUGACUGACUGCCUGAGCAGUUUGCCAUCUACAUUGACCAGGGUAUACAUUUCUAGGUGCACACAAAAUGCCCACUAGUGUGUGUGAGUGUGUGUAUUUAUCUUUGUUGAAGUAAGAUUGUUCUGUUCCAUUUCAGUGGGUGUCACUGAUGGGGAGCCAAGUCAGUAGAAGAUUCAUAUCCCUAGCCCAUUGUAGUUGUGGUUCUCGUACCUCUCACCACCAGUUGCAUUGCUCAUUGUAAUAUCCUGCAAUUUAAAACAAAAACAACCUUCAACAUGAGGACACUCUGUAAACAUUUAUUUGCUAUUAGAAUUAGAAACCCUUCUUCCUUAUUCUAUAAUUUUAAGAUAAAUAGACCAGUUGAACCAACAUGCCGGGUUCCGGUUUUUAUUGCCUCUCAAUGGCUGCUGAGUCCCAAUAUGUCAUUACUACAAACAUCUUUUUUUGAUUUAGUCAAAUUUUCAUACCCUUCGAGUCUGCCUGUUGCUUUUAAGGUUGGUGUGCGGCCCUUUUGUUCAGAAAUUGCUCCAUUGGGUCCAACAUUUGAUUGUACUGUGAAAGAUGUUGGGGAUAAUAAAUGUUUAGAAAGUGAUGGUGAGAAGUUGUACAAUGCUGUUGUCGAGCACUCUAAUGCACAUCAUAAUAUGGAGAAGACUCUUGACCAAGUUGGUGUGAAAUUGACUACUGAUUUAGUAGUACAGGUCCUUCAUAGGCUCCGGUUUGAGGAGAAAAUAGCAUUUAGGUUUUUUACGUGGGCAGGGCAUCAAGAGAACUAUGCCCAUGAGCCUCGAGCAUAUAAUGAUAUGAUUGACAUACUUUCUAGUACAAAAUACAAGGUCAAGCAGUUUCGAAUUGUUUGUGAUUUAUUGGAUUACAUGAAGAGGCAUGAUAAGAAUGCUGUACCUGUGGAAGUUCUGUUGAAAAUUUUGAGACAGUACACCGAAAAGCAUCUAACCUAUUUGCAGAAAUUUGCCAAAAAGAAGAGGAUAAGGGUGAAAACGCAGCCAGAGAUCAAUGCCUUUAACUUGCUGUUGGAUGCUUUGUGCAAGUGUAGUCUGGUUAAGGAUGCUGAAGCCAUGUUUAAGAAGGUGAAAAACAAGGUUACACCUGAUGCAAAUACUUACAAUAUAUUGUUUUUUGGAUGGUGUAGAGUAAGAAACCCAAGUAGAGGAAUGAGGGUACUGGAAGAAAUGAUUGAUUUGGGUCAUACGCCUGAUAAUUUUACUUACAAUACGGCCAUUGAUACCUUUUGCAAGGCAGGGAUGAUAACGGAAGCAGCUGAACUCUUUGAGUUCAUGAGAACGAAAGGUUCUACCAUGUCUUCUCCCACUGCUAAAACUUAUGCAAUCAUGAUUGUGGCUUUUGUCCAGAAUGAUAGAAUGGAUGAAUGCUUUAAACUUCUGGGGCAUAUGAUACACAGUGGUUGCCUUCCUGAUGUUUCAACAUACAAAGAGCUGAUUGAAGGGAUGUGUUUGGUUGGAAAGAUUGAGGAAGCUUACAAGUUCAUAGAAGAGAUGGGUAAUAAAGGUUACCCUCCUGAUAUUGUUACUUAUAAUUGUUUUCUCAAGGUCCUUUGUGACAAUCAAAAGAGUAGUGAAGCACUUAGGCUUUAUGGCAGAAUGCUUGAGGUGGGUUGUGUGCCUAGCGUGCAGACCUAUAAUAUGCUGAUUUCAAUGUUCUUUAAGAUGGCAGAUCCUGAUGGGGCAUUCGAGUCUUGGCACGAGAUGGAUAAGAGAGGCUGUGCACAGGACACAGAUACUUAUUGCUUGAUGAUUGAUGGGCUUUUUGGUUGCAAUAAGAUUGAAGAUGCAUGUUUUCUUUUGGAAGAUAUGGUAAACAAGGGAAUGAAAUUGCCGUAUCGGAAGUUUGAUUCAUUUUUGAUGCAGCUUUCGGUGAUUGGUGAUCUCCGUGCCAUCCACAGGCUUUCAGAACAUAUGAAAAAGUUCUACAAUCCUGCUAUGGCAAGACGAAUUGCACUGAAUGAGAAGCGAAAGAGCAUCAGUUUGAGAGGGAAGUAAUACUAGGAGAUAAGACACUGGUAGCCAUUGGGGUACAACUGUCUCUGUGGAUAAAUGUCAUGGCUUAGCACUGAUUGUCCAUGUCACCACAGAUCCAACCCCCAUCUCUUGAUAGUCCCACGUGGGAUAAGGAACCAUCAGGCUGGAGGCAUUAAGGGGUUGCUUGGAGAAUUUUAGUCAUCUGCUGGAUUUUGGAAAGCAGAUAUAAUUCAUUCUGAUGAUUGCUAGAUGAUUGAUAUCAUCCACGCAUCUUUGCUCAAGGAGUUAAAUUUUAGAAGUUUUUCAGCUUAAAAUCCAUCAAAACUACAUCCCCAUGUUGGAGUUUGAGAAAGGACAACUAUAGGCUCUUACUGGGAAACUAAAUUAGUUGAAAGACUGUUCUCGAAAGAUAUCAGUUGAUGGGCUCAAUGCAGCAUGUUGAAAUUGAUUUCAGUGGGCUUUUGAAGGAAAUGUAUCAGGUGCUCUAAAGCAUUUAAUGUUGACAGAACUCACCACCCUAACAGGUUGUCAAAUUUUGGCUGUAAAUGUAUUUGUACUAGGCUUGGAUCUUGAAAAGAAAAAAUAAAAAAAUAAAGAAGGCAAUCUUGCUAGCUUUAACAGUGACAAAUGGCUUUGGAGUAGCUUUUACAAUGAUUCUGAAAAUUCUGAGUAACUAUGCUGUAUGCAAUUUUUUUUAUUCCUUUUUUUUUUUGCCUUUUUGUUUCCCUUUUAUUUUUGAGAAUCAGGUGUCUUUGGCUUUUAAGUUGUAAUAUUCUCCAUAACUGAUCAUUGUGUAUGUAUCAUAAUCUCCUGGAAUCUCUCACCAUGUCCUCUCAACAUCAGUUUUGUGUCCAAAUA